UCAAGAAAUCGGGUACUUCUGUAUGCCAACCACUUGUUGAGAAAUUUUUUCGUCAAGUUGCGAGAGAACAUAUUUCUCCAUAUAUCAUAAUCAUCCGUCCUGAGGAACCGGUUGUUUUCAUUGACGUGGAAUCAUCCAUCUUUGCAUUCCAUCUUUUUAAUGGUACUGUUGAAAAGAUUGCUGAGCCUUCUAAGGAAGAUAUUGUUUUGGUGGGUACUGCCUUCAUAUAUUCUCCAUGCUUUGCCUCAUUGAAGCGUCUAAAGCCAACAAAUCCAGAUCGUUGUGAUCAAUCUAGUUGACCGAGGAUGUUGUCUGAUACUUCUGAAGAGGACAACAAAGGCAACUGAAGAAGACUGAUGCAUGAGUAUUCCUGAUAUAGCAUUCUAGACUUGCUGGUCCAAACUAUUUUGAAGGCGCACCUUCAUUUUUAUGAAGACAUUGAAUUAUCAUCUAAUUAUACUAUAUUUGUUUGAACUUUUUUGAUAUUAUGCAUUUUUAUAUAUCCAAGACCCGUUGAGAUUGGACUCUGUUAAUGUAAUAUGGUGAAUAUGUGAUUUUUUUUCCUUCACAAUUGAUUGGCCUGGAGAUGCUUUUCUUGGACCAACAGUCUUAGUUCUUAAUGUCUAAUCAUAGGCAUUCCCAUGAAGAGUUUGAAACUUGAAAGUGAUGCUCAUCCUUAUUCUUGAAUGUUGCCUAGUAUCUGUUUCUUCUUUGGUUGCUGAUAUGCUCUUUUGCGCUGUUACAACCAUCUUUCCUUCUCUUGUUUCUUGGAUUAGUUUUUACCCAUUUAGUUCUCGUGAUUGGUUCAUGGUUUACAUCAAUUUUAUUGUUUGGUUACUAUUCUUUAUGGACUACCUAAUUAUCAUGCUACCUAAUUUUUUUGACAUAUCCUGUCUAACAAAGACAUUCUACUAGAUAUUUGGACUGCUUCACAAACAACAUUGGUAUGAAUUUAAGAUGCCAAACCUACGCACAAAUUAAAGAUGCUUGGGAUUUUAGGAAGGCAGAGCUGACUGGCUUGCCCUUUGAGAUAAUGCUGAUAAAAUGAGUGAGUUAUUUUUGGGAAGUGUGCAAAAAAAAACUGUCAGUCAGGUUAUAUAACCUUUGCUACCAUGAUACAAGAAAAAAAUGCCAAGGGGAUGGCUGAAGCUGCAGAAAAAAUCGAGGCAAAGAUGCUGUCCAUGCAAAACUGCUGAGAUUCCCUGUGAUUUAAACUCAACCUCAGCUGCUCGGGUGCUAUUGUAUGUUUCUCCUGGUAACUACCUUGGGGAAUUGUUAGCAAGCUCACAUGGCUCACAGUGUGGAUUUUGUACUCCUGGAUUUGUCAUGUCCAUGUAUGCUUUACUAAGGUCUAGUCAAACUCCUCCAAUUGAGCAGCAAAUUGAGAAGGCUGGCAGGGAACUUGUGUCGCUGCACAGGUUAUAGGCCAAUUAUCGAUGCCUUUAGAGUUUUUGCUAAAACUGAUGACAUGAUAUACACAGUUGGUAACUCGGCAAAGCCAACAAGGCAACGAGUUUAUUUGUCCUUCAACUGGUAAACCCUGCUCAUGUGGUCAAAAGUCUGAUGGGAACACUGGCGAUAUGAAGGAAAGCGGGGCUUGCAGUGAAAGGUACAAACAGCUUUCUUACAGUGAUGUUGAUGGUAGCAAAUACAAUGAUCGAGAGCUUAUUUUUCCUCCUGAACUAUUGCUAAGGAGAUCUUCUUUUUUGAGUUUGAGUGGAUUUAAUGGACUUAAGUGGUACAGACCUUUGUCACUUCAACUUCUCCUUGAGUCAAAAUCCAAAUAUCCAGAUGCAAGGUUGGUGAUUGGUAACACUGAGGUUGGAAUUGAAAUGAGGUUGAAGAGAAUGCAGUAUAAAGCUCUUGUAUCAGUUGCACAGGUACCUGAGUUAAAUAUUUUAAAUGUGAAAGAUGAUGGAUUGGACAUAGGAGCUGCUGUGCGAAUGUCUGAGCUUCUAAGUGUUUUGAGGGGAGUUUCUGUAGAGCGUGCUACUCAUGAAAUAUCAACCUGUACUGCUUUCGUUGAGCAAAUAAAGUGGUUUGCUGGAACUCAGAUUAGAAAUGUUGCAUCUGUAGGUGGGAAUAUAUGCACUGCUAGUCCUAUAUCAGAUUUGAAUCCUCUUUGGAUGGCAGCUGGAGCAAAGUUUCAAAUCAUUGAUAGCAAGGGAAACAUUAGAACAGUGUUGGCAGAAGAUUUUUUCCUUGGUUAUCGCAAUAGCUUCGUUAAACUUGAGAUGAGCUCUAUUCAUCGUCCCAAAAAUACUUAAAAUCGUCCAAAAAAAAGUUGAAAUUACAUCUCUAGUCUUUUCCUUCCUUUUCCCUAAACCACCACCACCUACGUAUACGAAAUUCUACUACAGAUGAAUUAUCACAGAAUCUGACAUAUUCUCAUCCUAACAAGAAAAUGCACUCGCAAUUGGUAGAUUUAAGUGGCACAUACGAUACACCAAUUGGCUAUGAAAAAUUUCGAGAACCUAUGGACACACACUACACAGUGAUGAUAAUGAACCAGAACCCAAAGUUGUAAGGAGGGGAAGACUGCCAACGAAGAAUUCAAUUCAAAGAGACCAACAGGCAACAGGUAGACCUCCACUAGAGAGGGGCUACCUCUGACUUUCCUGAACAACUGCUGGUGGAACUACAAAUCCAUCUACAACAGUAACAACUUUUACUUCUGUGUUUUUAUCAGUUAUGAAGAAAGUUUUGUUGCGUUUAUACAGCUCAAAAUAGUAACAGCAACUACAACAGUAACAACGUUUACUUCUACUAUCUAGAAUUCUGAAAGUGAUAUAAGGUCUACAACUUGUGUUACCUUCCUUUUUCAUGUUACCUUAUAGAUCAUUAUUCAAGUAA